CGUUUUGUGAAUUAUGAAUGUGUAUUAUACAUGUAAUAUAUUUAUAUAGGUGUUUGACACGAUAAAUUAGUAAGUAUUUUAUAAUGUAUUAAUCUUAUUAUAAACAAUCGUUAUUUAUAUUAUAUACUAUGUAUUAUAUUAUAAAGAAUAAUGUAUAAUAUCUAAGUUGUAUUAUGUAUACAGGGUUUCCCAAAAUGUUCGACGGAUUAUUUUAGCACUGUUAAUAUUCGAUUUUUUUUUUUCAAUCGGUUUGUCUUCGAGGGGGGCAUUGAUUUAGAGAAAAAUUUUUAUUUUAAUCCUUUAAACAUAAAUUAAUUUUGAUUUAUUCACUUCAAAAAAUUUUCAAAACAGCCAUUUUGUAAAAAUAUUAUUAUCGACAUUUUAGUUUAUCAUACAUAUAUAGGCGAUUACCUUCAUUAUAGGACUUACCUUCGAAAGGAAAGUCCUAAGGAAAAUUCACGGACCUGUUCGACUUCAAAAUGGUGAAUAUGAGAGAAGGAAAAAUAAAGAUCUGGAAAUGUUAUUUAACAAGCCGAAUAUAAGAUUAUUCUUGAAGGCAAAGCGCUUGGAAUGGGCUGGCNCGAUUUUUUUUUUUCAAUCGGUUUGUCUUCGAGGGGGGCAUUGAUUUAGAGAAAAAUUAAAUUUUUAUUUUAAUCCUUUAAACAUAAAUUAAUUUUUAUUUAUUCACUUCAAAAAAUUUUCAAAACAGCCAUUUUGUAAAAAUAUUAUUAUCGAUAUUUUAGUUUAUCAUACAUAUAUAGGCGAUUAAUAGUUUCUUAAUUAUAGCCAUUUUAUUUUCAAGAAAAUAGGCGUAAAAAACAAUUAAUAUUCAAUAGAAUGUAAAGAAUUACCGUGCUGAUUGCCCAUUUAUAUUAUAUUUUUUGUUCAAUAUUAAUUGUUUUCGUGCCUAAUUAAAACGGUUAACAUUUUUAGAAUUAUUAUUUUUUGCAAAAUAGUUAUUUUGAAAAUUUUCUAAAGUGGAUAAAUAAAGUAUUUUUUUUUUUUUUUUGUCUUUAGGGGAUAAAAAUAAAAAUUUAAUUCUCCUCCAUUUUAUUUUUAUCGGUGUCCCCCUCGAAGACAAACCGAUUGAAAAAAAAAUACCGAAAAAAAUGUAAUAUUAACAGCGUUAGAAAAAUCCGUCGAACACGGUGGGACACAUUGUAUAUGUAUAUAUAUAUAAAAAAAAAUUACACAGAGAAGUGUACAACAAGUAUCAUGACAGUUAGAAUUAUUAUACAGUAUUGGUCGUCUACAUAUUAUAUAAAUACAAUAAUACUGUUCUAUUCAAUUAUUCGUAAUAUAUUACCUACUAUCGUAAUAUAAUAUAGCAGAUAGUUUUAGUAAUUUUUUUGUUUUUUUUUUUUUUGAAGAAAAUAUUAAUAAUUAUUAUUAAACACAUAAUUGUAUUACUGGUAUAUACUAAUCUGGUAUACGUAUAUUAAUAAUAGUAAAAAAAAAAAUACAAUAUUUUUAGAUACACAUACAAUAAUAAUAUUAUAAAUUUUAAUUCUGAUCUUUAUAAUAUUAUGUCUCUAUAGUAAUAAUAAUAAUAAUAAUUAAUAAUACAGUUAAAUGACUAUUAGACAAGUCGGUUAAGCUUUUAAAAACAUCGAGUAAUGGUUUGAAAAAACAAAUAACACAUUAUAAUUUAAUAAUAAUGUAUAGGUAUGUAAUUUUAUAACACAAUAUCCGGUUUACAUUAUACGGAGUGAUAAUAUUAUAUUAUCCAGCGUGAGAAAUUUGGUGGGGUUAUCUCGGGAAGCGUUAAAAUUUUUCGGAAUUUACAUUUUGGACCUUCUAUGUUACAAUAGCCGCUCCAAAACGUUCGCUUUUGUCGCCUGAAUAUCGAAUGGUGGUAUUUGCGGGUUCAUGCCCCCGAAACAUAAGAUUGAAAACAAUAUUUAACGAUUUUCGAGGCCGCUUUUUAUUUUGUAUAUUUUUCGCGGUAAUCAAAUUCCGCGAAAUACUUUCGCCGGAUACAAAAUUAACGUCUUAUUAGUGUCAUGCUAGAUCCAUCACUCUGUAUAAAUGCAUUUAUGUCCACUUAUAUUGCAAAAUAAGUAACGGGCACUGAUGUAAUAGGAUAUUUGUGAACGAGACGAAUUUCGGCCGUUUUCUGGUUCCAUCAUCACGCGAAUAUAUUAAUUCGGGCGUUAAAAAAAAAAAAAAAAACGUCUUUGAACGGUCGCGGAACAAUAGCAUUUGCAAUCGAAAAUCGGUAUACACUUCUAUAUUAUAAUAUAAAUAAACCAGAUUUCAAGCAUUCAAAUGUUUGGUGGGUACCUAAUAUAUUUAUAGAUACAGGUAUAUCCGUAAAACCGAGAUGGCCGAAAAGAGCUUUAACGAAAAAAAAAAAAAAGAGGAAAGAAAGAAAGACGAAAAGAAAUCCAAAAACUAAAUCUAUCGUUUAAAAGAACCAUCGCCGGAGUUAUAUCCGCAUUAUUAACAGUUUUGGUAUAACAAACGGGCGACAAAGCGGAAUAGAGCGUAAUGUGUUGGCGUUCGGGAUGAAAUUAUUACAGUCAAAACACAAUAUUAAUAACCGAAUUGAAAGUGAAUUAUCUCCUAGUUACAAAAGUUAUAGCUGCUUAAAAAAACAAAAAAAAAAAAACCAACAUUAAUUAUUAACAUUAACAAUUAACAUGGCCAUGACUUUUCGUAUAAUGUUUGUUUGGAAGAAGCUAUACGUAUACUGUACAGCUCUCGAACAUAUUUUUCUCUUUAAUUAAUAUUCUACUUUCAUCCUAAACGCUCCAAUUUAUGUAACGUAAUUUCGCUUUACCUCUCUUCGAUAAGACGGACACAGCACACGCGGUUAUGAAAUUCUAAAUUUUCGCCUAAAAACUUACUAUAUAGGAUGAGCUCUCAUGCUUCGCAGAGUGGUCUGAUUUCGACAAUUUUGUUUUUUCUUACUUGUUGAUUGCAAAGAUGAGGCAUUUUCACUGGGUGCGUUGGAUUUUGAUUUUGAAAGUUUUGUUUGCAAACGCUAUAAUGAAAGUUUGAAUACAAACUAUUUUUUUAAAUUUAUUUUUUGCGGUGUUUGGGAUAUAUAUAAAAAAAAAAAAAAAUCGAAUUUCUGUAGGAACUAGGAAUGUGUCCUCUAUCCGAAAAUAAAAAAAAGAAAAUACAUCGAAAUUGGUCGUCUCGGUGAGGCAGGAGAACGAACCCUACAAACCACGUUUUAAAACAUGCCGUGCACAAGCGACAAGCCACUUGAUAUAAACAUUACAACUGGUUGCAUUUUUUUGUUCAGAACCGUUAAGACUUUUCAGUUUUAAACAUAAACAAUUUGUUAUUAUAGCAAUAUUGUUUGUAAGAAAUCACGAACAAAUGGUAGGUACGAGACGACAGAUCCGUUAAUUGAAAUUUGCCUGGCUGGAUGGAGUUUUUCUGUAUGUAUCGAUAGUGAAAGACGUGAUUUGGGAACAGUUUGAAUUUUUUUUAGUCGAAAUCAUAAUAUUAAAUACUUAUGACAGCGGCGGAUAAAACGGUCACGGAACGUAAUUUUAUCAAUAGGGCUG